AAGUCUUAACUGGCAGUUCCAACGAGAGACCUUCGGGUCCCCCGUGGGCGAACGGGUGAGUAACACGUAGGGAACCUGCCCGCGCACCGGGAAUACGCUCUGGAAACGGAGAACAAAUCCCGAUGUACAGGAAGGAGGCAUCUUCUUUUCUGUGAAACAUCCUUUCGGGGAUGGGGCGCGGAUGGACCUGCGGUGCAUUAGUUUGUUGGCGGGGUAAAGGCCCACCAAGACGAUGAUGCAUAGCCGGCCUGAGAGGGCGGACGGCCACAUUGGGACUGAGACACGGCCCAGACUCCUGCGGGAGGCAGCAGUAGGGAAUUUUCGUCAAUGGGCGCAAGCCCGAACGAGCGAUGCCGCGUGAGUGAAGAAGGCCUUCGGGUCGUAAAGCUCUGUUGCGGGGGAAAAAAGGCAGCAUCAGGAAAUGGGUGCUGACUGAUGGUGCCCCGCCAGAAAGUCACGGCUAACUACGUGCCAGCAGCCGCGGUAAUACGUAGGUGGCGAGCGUUAUCCGGAAUGAUUGGGCGUAAAGGGUGCGCAGGCGGUCCUGCAAGUCUGGAGUGAAACGCAUGAGCUCAACUCAUGCAUGGCUUUGGAAACUGGAGGACUGGAGAGCAGGAGAGGGCGGUGGAACUCCAUGUGUAGCGGUAAAAUGCGUAGAUAUAUGGAAGAACACCAGUGGCGAAGGCGGCCGCCUGGCCUGUUGCUGACGCUGAGGCACGAAAGCGUGGGGAGCAAAUAGGAUUAGAUACC
rnacentral:rRNA from 1 species